rnacentral:rRNA from 1 species
AUGGAAGACUUCUAUGAGACAAGAAUUGAAAGUGUCGAUGGGCAGCUUAUUGGUUUAUUCGGAGUUUUUGAUGGUCAUGGUGGUGCUAAAGUAGCUGAGUAUGUCAAACACAACCUCUUCAGCCAUCUUCUUAGGCAUCCAAAAUUCAUGAGCGACACAAAAGUGGCUAUAGAUGAUUCUUAUAAAAGUACCGACAGUGAGUUCUUGGAAUCUGACAGUACUCAAAACCAGUGUGGGUCAACAGCAUCAACUGCUGUACUUGUUGGUGAUCGUCUCUUUGUCGCAAAUGUUGGAGACUCCAGGGCUAUCAUAUGCAGGGCAGGAAAUGCUGUACCUGUUUCGAAAGAUCACAAGCCUGAUCAGACAGAUGAGCGGCAACGUAUUGAAGAAGCUGGAGGUUUUGUUAUGUGGGCAGGAACAUGGCGCGUUGGUGGUGUACUUGCUGUUUCUCGCGCUUUUGGUGACAAGCUCUUAAAGCAGUAUGUAGUUGUGGAUCCAGAGAUCCGGGAGGAAAUCGUUGACGAGUCCCUGGAGUUUCUCAUCCUUGCAAGCGAUGGGCUAUGGGAUGUGGUCUCUAACGAGGAGGCUGUCGACAUGACCCGGUCCAUACAAGACCCAGAGGAAGCUGCAAAGAGGCUCCUGCAGGAGGCAUACAAGCGGGAGAGCAGCGACAACAUAACCUGCGUCGUUGUGCGCUUCUUUCAUGGUCAAGGGAGCAGCGGGCCUGCUUAA